GGGAUAUGUUCCGCAUUGCGUCGAACGACAACAUUGAUGAAUACGGUGAUUGGGUGAGCGAGUUUAUUAGCAAGUGCAUCGGUAAUGAUGGCAGCAUUCGCGCAAAACUGAAAGUGCGAACCCCUGCUUUUAAUCAAGGCAAGGUGACCGGAAACAUGACCGAAUACAAACAGUGUAGCUAUUCCCUCCGCAAGGCAAUCAAGCAAGCUAAGCGUCAGUAUAGAGACGAAGUAGAGUCACAAUUCAACGGCUCAGACACGAGAGGUAUGUGGCAGGGUCUACAGUCAAUCACGGACUACAAAAGAAAAACCAUCCCUGUCACGUACCACAAUGUCUUGCUCCCAGACAAACUAAACAACUUCUUUGCUCGCUUUGAAGACAAUACAGUGCCACUGACACGGCCCGCUACCAAAACCUGUGGGCUCUCCUUCACUGCAGCCAACGUGAGUAAAACAUUUAAACGUGUUAACCCUCUCAAGGCUGCAGGCCCAGACGUCCUCAGAGCAUGCGCAGACCAGCUGGCUGGUGUGUUUACGGACAUAUUCAAUCAAUCCUUAUCCCAGUCUGCUGUUCCCACAUGCUUCAAGAGGGCCACCAUUGUUCCUGUUCACAAGAAAGCUAAGUUAACUGAGCUAAAUGACUACCGCCCCAUAGCACUCACUUCCGUCAUCAUGAAGUGCUUUGAGAGACUAGUCAAGGACCAUAUCACCUCCACCAUACCUGACACUCUACAAUUUGUAGAGACCCACUACAAAAAAAAAAGACCCACUACAAUUUGUUUGCCGCCCCAAUAAGUCCACAGACGACGCAAUCACAAUCACACUGCCCUAACCCAUCUGGACAAGAGGAAUACCUAUGUAAGAAUGCUGUUCAUCGACUACAGCUCAGCAUUUAACACCAUAGUACCCUCCAAACUCGUCAUUAAGCUCGAGACCCUGGGUCUCGACCCCGCCCUGUGCAACUGGGACCUGGACUUCCUGACGGGCUGCCUCCAGGUGGUGAGGGUAGGUAACAACAUCUCCACCCCGCUGAUCCUCAACACUGGGGCCCCACAAGGGUGCGUUCUCAGCCC
rnacentral:lncRNA from 13 species